UACGGGGGGGGCAAGCGUUGUUCGGAAUUACUGGGCGUAAAGGGCUCGUAGGCGGCCAACUAAGUCGGACGUGAAAUCCCCAGGCUCAACCUGGGAACUGCGUCCGAUACUGGAUGGCUUGAAUCCGGGAGAGGGAUGCAGAAUUCCAGGUGUAGCGGUGAAAUGCGUAGAUAUCUGGAGGAAUACCGGUGGCGAAGGCGGCAUCCUGGACCAUUACUGACGCUGAGGCGCGAAAGCUAGGGGAGCAAACAGG
rnacentral:rRNA from 1 species